rnacentral:rRNA from 1 species
UGGGCAACCUGCCCUGUACUGGGGAAUAAUCAUUGGAAACGAUGACUAAUACCGCAUGUGGUCCUCGGAAGGCAUCUUCUGAGGAGGAAAGGAUUUAUUCGGUACAGGAUGGGCCCGCAUCUGAUUAGCUAGUUGGUGAGAUAACAGCCCACCAAGGCGACGAUCAGUAGCCGACCUGAGAGGGUGAUCGGCCACAUUGGGACUGAGACACGGCCCAG